rnacentral:rRNA from 1 species
UCUUCGUUGGAUCAAUGAGCUGAACGGAUGAGUAACUCAUGAGCGGGCUGCCGCUGACUCUAGGAUGAUCGCUGGAGACAGCGUCUACUACUGGAUAUGUGACUUGACCGAACGGUCUGCGUUUGGAAAGAUUUUUCGGUUGGGGAUGGGCUCGCGAGCGUAUCAGCUUGUUGGUGAGGUAAUGGCUCACCAAGGCGUCGACGGGUAGCCGGCCUGAGAGGAUGACCCGGCCAAAAACUGGGAAUGAAUACAACGGCCCAGAAUUCCUACGGGGAGGCAGGCAGUGGGGGAAUAUUGCACCAAUGGGCGAAAAGCCUGAUGCAAAAAACGAAGGCCUGAAGGAUGAAGGACCUUUCGGGUUGUAAAACUCUAUUUAGCAAGGAAGAAGCGGAAAGGGACCGUUACCCGCAGAAAAAGAAGCAGGCUAAAGUACGAUGCCACCACCCGCAGUAAUACGUAAGGGCGCAAGCGCUAUCCGGAAUUAUAGGGAGUAAAGAGAUAGUACGACGCUUGGUCGCGUCUGAUGUGAAAUCCCGAUGGCUCAACCUCAAGCCUGGCAGUGGGUACCGGCAGAAUACAGUGCGGUAGGGGAAAUUGGAAUUCCAGGUAUAGCGGUAGAAUGACCAGAUAUCAGGAGGAACACCGAUAGCGAAGGCAGAUCUCUCGGCCCUAACUGACGCUCAGGAACGAAAGGGAGGUGCGCAGCAAACACGAUUAGAUACCCUGGUAGUCCACCCCAUAAACCUUGGGAACUAGUUGUGGAGUCCAUUCCACGGAUUCCGUGACGCAGCUAACGCAGUAACUUCCCCCCCUCGCGGAGUACGCGCCCCAAGGAUAAAAAUAACCGGAAGAGACGAGGACCGGCACGCAGUCGCCGGAGCAUCAGGAGUAAUAAGAUGCAACGAGAAGAACAACUUACCAAGGCGUGGACAUAUACCACAACAGGUCCAGAAAAUGGUCAACUCUUUCGGACAGUAGUAAACAGACGGUGCAUGCAUGUCGUUAGUUAGCGUCUUGAGAUAAAGGGUUAAGUCCGUCAAGGAGCGCGACCAUCCUUUUUCGUUGCCAGCAAGUAAUGGUGCGAAGUAAUCGGAUACGACUGGGGUCAACUAAGAGGAAGAUGGUGAUGACGACGUCUCGUCAUGCCCGCCAUGUCGACCGGGUCAAGACAGCUACAACAGCCGCUACAAAGGGGUGCAGUACCCUGAGGUGGAGCGAAUCCACAAAAGCACGGUCCCAGUUGUGAUUGAGGUAUGCAACUAGUCGUCUUGAAGUCGUAGUAGUUAGUAAUCGCAGAUCAGCAACGUGGCGGUGAAUACGUUGUCCGGGUGUCGUACACACCGCCCGUCAAGUCACGAAAGUAGGUAACA